rnacentral:lncRNA from 1 species
CGUGCUCCAGGCAGUACAGCUCCCAGCAGGCGUUGCCGAUCUGCACGCCCGCUUGGCCCACGUGGAUGGAGAUGCACUCGCGCUGCGGGGACAGGACACGCGCCCGCGUCACCCCCGCGCUGCCCCCUCGCUGUCCCCGUCCCCCCCCAGCAGCUAGGAAGGGCCCAUCGCCAGGGCUGGAUGCGGCCACCUCAUCCCAGGGGCCCGAUCCUGCGCAGACGCGCUCUAUUGUUCUGGCUCCAGGGGCGUGCCCAGUUGGGGGGGAGGGGUGCUCAGCUCUGGGGGUCUCAUCCUGCCCCCCCCCCCCCCCCCCCCCCCCCCCCCCCCCCCCCCCCCCCCCCCCCCCCCCCCCCCCCCCCCCCCCCCCCCCCCCCCCCCCCCCCCCCCCCCCCCCCCCCCCCCCCCCCCCCCCCCCCCCCCCCCCCCCCCCNGGGGGGGGGGGGGGGCUCAGCACCGGGGGCUCAUCCUGCCCACUGGGGUCCCCACUGAACCAGGGCCACACCCAGUGCGGGAUAUGGAGGGGGGGCGGUAGGGAAGGGCCUCAUCCUGCCCCGCCUUGUCGUCUGGUGCGGGACGCGGUGCUCAGCACGGGGGGGGCCCCAUCCUGCCCCGUUAAACCGGGACUACGCCCAGUGCAGGGUGAGGGCUCAGCACCGGGGGGGUGGCAGGGGGGUGUCUGUCUGUCCCGGUUUAACGGGAGCCACGCCCAGUGCGGGACGGCGGCUCAGUACUGGGAAUGGGGGGCCCGAUCCUGCCGCGUCAAACCGGAGCCACGCCCAGGACUGGCUCAGGGAUUAGCACCGGGGACUCAUCCUGACCGGUUGAACGGGAGCCACCCCCGGUGCGGGCUGGGAAAUCAGCCCCGGGGAUCCCAUCCUGCCCGGUUUAACGGGAGCCACGCCCGGUGCGGGCUCAGGGCUCAGCCCCCAGAGAUCCCAUCCUGCCCGCUUUAACGAGAGCCACGCCCGGUGCGGGCUCGGGGCUCAGCCCCCGGGGAUCCCAUCCUGCCUGGUUUAACGGGAGCCACGCCCGGUGCGGGGUCGGUGCUCAGUCCCCGGGGAUCCCAUCCUGCCCGGUUUAACGGGAGCCACGCCCGGUGCGGGCUCGGUGCUCAGCCCCCGGGGAUCCCAUCCNGGGGGGGGGGGGGGGGGGGGUACGGGACCGAGGGUAACGGCGGGACCACAGGGAUGGGGACCGGGAACAACGGCGGGACCGGGGCCCCCCUCCCCGCGCCCCCCCUCACCAUGGCGGCGGUCGCUCCGGGGCGGUCUCACAGCCCGACGCUGAGGCGGUCGAUGUAAGAGGCGCGGCGGAGCGCGGGGCUCGGCGCGGG